ensembl:lncRNA
GUUGGUUUUUUUUCCCUUGAUUAGGAGAAAAUUGAUCUUCUGAAAAGCGAUUGGAGCUGCAGCUUUCCUGCUGUGGGAGAACCCAGGAAGUGCUGCAGCAGGAACAUGAAAGAGACCUUAUGUUCCCCUGGCCAAGACUCCUCAUCUGAAUGCAACCAGUGGGCUCCGCACUUGUAAAAUAUUGCUACCUUCCUUCGCAGGCAGUAUGAGUGCAAUUUCGCUACUUACCCAUAUGGGGCAAAGGCUGCAAAAAUUCAACUUGUCAUCAAGGCAGAAGGUACUGAACUGAAGGAUGUGGAAGCCCACUGUUCAGCCUGGCCGCAGGUAGUGAUGAGGGUGACCCUUGACUUUACUUCAGUUAUGUCUCCAAUCAGAAAUAUGGCAGGAGAAAAAAUACAAUAAAGAGCAAGGAAGUGCUUCCUUGCCAAGCAGGACAAUAAGUAACUAAGUUUGUCAGAGAGGCUUUAUCUAUUGUGGAUGUUGGAAGUCAGCAGUGGCAGAUGAGUGAGAAAUGCUGAAGGCUUACAAUUGGCUUUCACUGCCCUCCAGCCUAACAUGAGCUGCAUAGUGAGAAAGGUGUUCCCCAAGCCAAGCACUGUGUGGUACAUGGACCAAGAAAAACCUGACAGAGAGGCCUGGAGGUAAUAAAACUCAUGAACAGGUCAAUGACAUAGCCAUAGAAAUUAUUAACAGCAAAAGCAUUGGUUACUAAACCACUCCUGCCAAUGGCAGCGUGUAGAUGUCCACCUAGGUUACCACUUUGGACAGCAUCUCUACUAAGAAACUUUCAGCCAUAUGAGCUUGCUUUUCAGUAACAGCAUUUAGCACCAUUCUGAUUUAUAGUUUAAAGUGUAAUGAAAGGGAUUUGUAACUGCUUUGUGUUACUUGGUUGUUUUUCUUUCUCCAGAAAUGUCUAUUGAACAAAAAGACUCACAAGACAGAGGUUUCUAUCAUCAGAUCUGUGCUUGAUGUUACGAGGAACCCACCAGAUAAGCGACCUGUUUUCCCUGUGCCUCAGAGGAAGUCCUUUGGAGAUGGCUUUCCUUGGGUAGCUGGCUUUGCACUGGCCAUGAUACAGCUAUGUUUCAGCAGUGGGUCAUGUGAACAUAUCAGAGAAAUGCUGUGGAUAAAUGGCAAGGAAAUAAGUGUAAUUUUUCUACAUAAGCCUCCUCUUACUUGGGAUGUAGAUGCUGCUUCCAUCAGCUGUCAUGACUACCUCAGGUGAGGAAGAAUUUUAAAAGCCUUCCUUAUUACUCAUUCAGUAGAGGUAUGAUCUCUGCUUGACCUGUACUUAAGUGCCAUGUACACAGAGCCAGAGGCAUACCAGUGAGAGGUCAGCAUGCACUGCACUGGUAGUACCUAUAGUGCUUUUGGAUGGGAAUUUGUGAGCUGUGAAAUCAUUUAGCAAGAGAGCUAACACAAAUCUUGCUAAAGCUCUGUCACACUAAGACAGCAUGUAAAAUGGCUUGCUGAAUAUCAAAUGUUGUUCUUAUACUUUUUAUAAAACGGAAUAGGAACCCUAUAAAUCUACCAAUAAAUUUAUCCUAUUAUGAUGGAGAAGUGUCUGU